rnacentral:rRNA from 1 species
GACGAACGCUGGCGGCGUGCUUAACACAUGCAAGUCGAGCGGAGCGGCGAACGGGUGAGUAACGCGUGAGUAACUGCCCCCCUCUCUGGGGUAACAGUUGGAAACGGCUGCUAAUCACGGAUAGUGGGGGAUGACUCGCUGCCUAUCAGCUGUUUGGUGGGGUAGUGGCCUACCAAGGCGACGACUGGUAGCCGGCCUGAGAGGGCGACCGGCCACAUUGGGCUACGAUACGGACCAAACUCCUACGGGGGGCAGCAGUGGUGAAUAUUGCACAAUGGGGGAGACCCUGGUGGAGCAACGCCGAGGGCGGGAUGCCGGUCUUCGGGUUGGAAACCGCUUUCAGCCAUGACGCGGUAGUGGCAGAAGAAGCACCGGCUAACUACGUGCCAGCAGCCGCGGUAAUAC